rnacentral:rRNA from 1 species
UACGGAGGGUGCAAGCGUUAUCCGGAUUCACUGGGUUUAAAGGGUGUGUAGGCGGGCUGUUAAGUCAGUGGUGAAAUCUCCAGGCUCAACCUGGAAACUGCCGUUGAUACUAUCAGUCUUGAGUCCUGUUGAGGUGGGCGGAAUAUAUCAUGUAGCGGUGAAAUGCUUAGAUAUGAUAUAGAACACCGAUUGCGAAGGCAGCUCACUAAGCAGGCAUUGACGCUGAGGCAUGAAAGCGUGGGGAUCAAACAGG